rnacentral:rRNA from 2 species
UGAGUGGCGAAGGGGUGAGUAACACGUGGGAAACCUGCCCAGAAGCGGGGGAUAACACCUGGAAACAGAUGCUAAUACCGCAUAACAACUUGGACCGCAGGGUCCGAGCUUGAAAGAUGGCUUCGGCUAUCACUUUUGGAUGGUCCCGCGGCGUAUUAGCUAGAUGGUGGGGUAACGGCUCACCAUGGCAAUGAUACGUAGCCGACCUGAGAGGGUAAUCGGCCACAUUGGGACUGAGACACGGCCCAAACUCCUACGGGAGGCAGCAGUAGGGAAUCUUCCACAAUGGACGAAAGUCUGAUGGAGCAACGCCGCGUGAGUGAAGAAGGGUUUCGGCUCGUAAAACUCUGUUGUUAAAGAAGAACAUAUCUGAGAGUAACUGUUCAGGUAUUGACGGUAUUUAACCAGAAAGCCACGGCUAACUACGUGCCAGCAGCCGCGGUAAUACGUAGGUGGCAAGCGUUGUCCGGAUUUAUUGGGCGUAAAGCGAGCGCAGGCGGUUUUUUAAGUCUGAUGUGAAAGCCUUCGGCUCAACCGAAGAAGUGCAUCGGAAACUGGGAAACUUGAGUGCAGAAGAGGACAGUGGAACUCCAUGUGUAGCGGUGAAAUGCGUAGAUAUAUGGAAGAACACCAGUGGCGAAGGCGGCUGUCUGGUCUGUAACUGACGCUGAGGCUCGAAAGUAUGGGUAGCAAACAGGAUUAGAUACCCUGGUAGUCCAUACCGUAAACGAUGAAUGCUAAGUGUUGGAGGGUUUCCGCCCUUCAGUGCUGCAGCUAACGCAUUAAGCAUUCCGCCUGGGGAGUACGGCCGCAAGGCUGAAACUCAAAGGAAUUGACGGGGGCCCGCACAAGCGGUGGAGCAUGUGGUUUAAUUCGAAGCUACGCGAAGAACCUUACCAGGUCUUGACAUACUAUGCAA